CCUAUUCAUUUCAUUCCUAACUAAUUUUAAGUGAUGUUGAUGUUGCAGGACUGGAGACCAUGCUUUGAAAACCAAUGGUCUACUGGAUACCAAACAACUGAGUUGACUAGCCAAUUGUGCACUUCAUCAAUUUUCAUUCUGAGAAAAAAAUGGUGAAGGACUCCUUCAGAGUUUAUAAACCCAUUGCUUUAACCAUGCCACUACACAUUCAUUGACACCUUGCAUUGAAAAUCUGUCACAUCAAAGAUCCUAAACCUUCCAUGCAGCAUGUGGUGUUUAUGCUCCAGACAUAUCCCCUUGUCCAACCUCUGAGUUUACCUGCAGCUCUAUCUCAAUGGCUGAUGUCUCUUUGUGUCUUUGUCUAGGACUUUCUUCAGCUCACAAGAGUUUGCUCAGCCCACAAAGGGGUGGGAGAAAGGGACAGAUGCCCCUAAUUCUCAGGGACAUAUUUCAAACAAUGAAGAUAGGAAUAUGUGGAUAAAUACUCUAGCUUCUCUAUCCUGUGGUGGGACAAUUUUGGAGCUUCUUCCUUCAGCGUCCUUACAGCAUCCCUAGUGAGAUGGACCCCAGUUUCCUGCAGCAGAAACUUACUCAUUAACACAUUUUUAAAUUAACAUUUCUCCCUUCCCUCUCCACUUCCCCCACUUCCUGAUUUAUGCUUCCUAGGAUCACUUCCUUAAAAAACUACCUACAUCCCAAGUUCUUGCAUUAGGGUCAGCUUUGGGGCAACAAAAACUAGGCCACUAUAUCUCAAAAUUCUUCGCCAGAUUCAUGGAAGCAGCACCUGCUCUUGAUCAACUUUCAGUUCUACGCCCUGGGGUUUUAUUCAUGGGUCUUUGGGCUGGCUAACCCAAGUUGAGUGUAUUCAGUGGGUGUUAAUAAAUAAAUAAUAAAGAUUGUUGCUG
rnacentral:lncRNA from 1 species